CGUACGCUUCUUUUUCCACCGGAGCUUGCUCCACCGGAAAAAGAAGAGUGGCGAACGGGUGAGUAACACGUGGGUAACCUGCCCAUCAGAAGGGGAUAACACUUGGAAACAGGUGCUAAUACCGUAUAACAAUCGAAACCGCAUGGUUUUGAUUUGAAAGGCGCUUUCGGGUGUCGCUGAUGGAUGGACCCGCGGUGCAUUAGCUAGUUGGUGAGGUAACGGCUCACCAAGGCCACGAUGCAUAGCCGACCUGAGAGGGUGAUCGGCCACAUUGGGACUGAGACACGGCCCAAACUCCUACGGGAGGCAGCAGUAGGGAAUCUUCGGCAAUGGACGAAAGUCUGACCGAGCAACGCCGCGUGAGUGAAGAAGGUUUUCGGAUCGUAAAACUCUGUUGUUAGAGAAGAACAAGGAUGAGAGUAACUGUUCAUCCCUUGACGGUAUCUAACCAGAAAGCCACGGCUAACUACGUGCCAGCAGCCGCGGUAAUACGUAGGUGGCAAGCGUUGUCCGGAUUUAUUGGGCGUAAAGCGAGCGCAGGCGGUUUCUUAAGUCUGAUGUGAAAGCCCCCGGCUCAACCGGGGAGGGUCAUUGGAAACUGGGAGACUUGAGUGCAGAAGAGGAGAGUGGAAUUCCAUGUGUAGCGGUGAAAUGCGUAGAUAUAUGGAGGAACACCAGUGGCGAAGGCGGCUCUCUGGUCUGUAACUGACGCUGAGGCUCGAAAGCGUGGGGAGCAAACAGGAUUAGAUACCCUGGUAGUCCACGCCGUAAACGAUGAGUGCUAAGUGUUGGAGGGUUUCCGCCCUUCAGUGCUGCAGC
rnacentral:rRNA from 1 species